UACGUAGGGUGCGAGCGUUGUCCGGAAUUACUGGGCGUAAAGAGCUCGUAGGUGGUUUGUCGCGUUGUCCGUGAAAACUCACAGCUUAACUGUGGGCGUGCGGGCGAUACGGGCAGACUGGAGUACUGCAGGGGAGACUGGAAUUCCUGGGUGUAGCGGUGGAAUGACGCAGAUAUCAGGAGGAACACCGGUGGCGAAGGCGGGUCUCUGGGCAGUAACUGACGCUGAGGAGCGAAAGCGUGGGGAGCGAACAGG
rnacentral:rRNA from 1 species